AGUCCAGAGGAAGUGGGGAGAGGAAAGAAAAAUGUUUUGAAGAAUAGUGGCCAAAAAUGUCCAAAUCUGGUAUUGACUCUUAGCUCAUGGAUCCAUGAGCACAACAACCCCAAGCAGGAUAAACACAGUGAAAAUAACACUGCAGCACAUUAUAAUUAAAUUGCUGAAAAGCAGGUAGAGAACAGAGUCCUGUUACUUAGAAAAGAUAUCUUGAUUGUAGAUUUCCCAGCCUCCAAAACUGUGAAAAUUAAAUGUGUUUAACAUACCCGGUCUAUGAUAUUUGUUGUAACAGCCUGAGCUAAGACAUAACACCAUGGAGAUAGAGUCAUGGAACUCUUAUCUCAGCCAUGUAUCAACAACCUCCAAACUUCUUUUACUUGACAGAGAAAUAAACUUUUGUCAUCUUAAGGUACUUUUUCUUAGUCACUGUUAUAGUUAAAACAUGUGCUUUAUAUAAUUAUCUAUAACUUCUAGGAUCUCGUGUAGACUGAUAAGUCAAAUAUAUACCUGUAUCGGCGUCUCUAACAAAGUUCCUUAUUUAUUUCAGUUCAGUGACUCCUCAUUGAGUAACUGCCAGGAUGCAGGCAGAGUCCUAGGUCCUAUGGGAAACAUAAAAAUGAAUAAGACUUCAUUAUGGUGCAAUUAAAAAUACACACUUCUUCCUGGCCCACUGGCACAUGAGCAGCUGAAACAAAGAAUUGUUAUGAUAUAUGGGGAGAGUGUUAGUGGAAAGAAGUAGCAAUUGAGAGAAACUUGGAUAACAUUUUUAGAAAAGGAAAUAUUUGAACUAAGUCUUGAAGCAAUAUUAGAGUUUUGACAGAUAUUUUGCAGGAGGGGAGAAAAAAACAUUUCCAGGCAGAGCAAGCAGAUUUAGCGGUCACUCACUCCAAGUGAGAGAUUGGAGAUGUGCUACAUAACCAAGCACCAAUGAGUAAAAAUUAAUCUAAAAAUGUGGGGUUACAUUAUGGAAGACCUUAAAUACUGGCUGCAGAGUCUUGCUUUUAUUCUUCAUGCAGUAAGGAGACAUCAUCUUUAUAAUUCACUUACCAUUUUUAUUUGGAUUUUUUUUUAGAUUUUUUCUAUUUGAGAGGUAGAAAGAGGGAAUGCAAGUUGGGGGGGUGGUGAGGAAGGGCAAAGGGAGAGGGAGAGAAAGAAUCUCAAGUAGACUCCCUGCUAAGGGUGAAGCCAGAUGUGGGGCUCCAUCCCAGGACCCUGAGAUCAUGACCUGAACAGAAAUGAAGAGUCAGUUGCUUAACCAACUGGGCUACUCAGAUGCCCCUUUAUUUGGAUUUUCAGUGUAAUCUUUUCUCAUUGGCUUCUUUCCUCAUUGAAUCGUGUAUUUUGGUAGCUUGUUAUAGAAGCACCCCAUCAAAAAUGCUAAGUUAAUUUACUAUUGUCAUUAAAAUUCCUUAAAUUUCAAUGAAACUAUGGGAUGCCUGGGUGGCCUAGAGGUUGAGCGACUGCUUUCAGCUCAGGGCGUGAUGGAGUCCCACAUCAGGCUCCUUGCAGGGAGCCUGCUUCUCCUAUUUCUCUGCCUCUCUCUUGGUGUCUCUCAUAAAUAAAUAUUUUUUAAAAAAUUUCAAUGAAACUAUAACACUUGCUCACAUCACGGUGCAACGCCAGUGACUGCUCCUGGUGGCUUUGGCAGCAGAGAGGGUCUGCCACACACAGUGACAGAGGCACCAGGCUAACAUGGGCUCUCUCAUCUUCUAAAUAGUUUCCAGGGUCGGCGGUUGACAUUUUCAACAUUGACAUCACAAUGGUAUAGAAGAGAAAGGUUAAAGAGGAACACUUGGUUCUUAAUCAUUUGGGCUCACAAGUGACACACUCAUCUCCAUUCCAAUUCCAUGAAUGAGAACUAAUUGCAAGGCUCCACUCAGAUAA
rnacentral:lncRNA from 1 species